UGGAUGAGAUAAACGCUGAAAGCAUCUAAGUGUGAAACUCGCCUCAAGAUGAGAUUUCCCAUUGCCUUCGGGCAAGUAAGACCCCUGAGAGAUGAUCAGGUAGAUAGGUUAGAAGUGGCAGUGCGGUGACGCAUGAAGCGGACUAAUACUAAUCGGUCGAGGACUUAACCAAG
rnacentral:rRNA from 1 species